rnacentral:RNase_P_RNA from 1 species
GGCGAGCAAGGGGACCGCCGCUGGGAUUCGCCUCCCAGAGGAACUUCCCGACUCCCUGCCCUCAUGGGCAAGGUCACUGGAUGAAACAGUAAGUCCAGGCAGGGUGAUCCCUGACGACAACUGCAACAGAGAACAUACCUGCCAACGGGGACCGGACUUGUUCCGGGAGCCGUCGGUGAGGGGUGAAAAGGUGGUGUAAGAGACCACCAGCGUCGUCGGUGACGGCGGCGGCUAGGCGAAUGUCUGACUGGGAGCAAGGCAGGUGGGAUGGGUUCUGGAGAGGAUCCAUUCCUGCCGCAGUGAUGGCGCCAAGAGGGAUAAUACCCCUGGCGGUAGUCAUCACCAGGGCGACAGCCUUGAGACAGAUGGCGGUCAAAACAGAAUCGGGGGUACACCUGCUCGCCCUCU